AUGGGGUGCAGCAGGCGCGAAACCUCUGCAAUAGGCGAAAGCUUGACAGGGUUACUCUGAGUGAUUUCCGUUAAGGGAAUCUUUUGGCAUCUCUAAAAACGAUGCAGAAUAAGGGGUGGGCAAGUCUGGUGUCAGCCGCCGCGGUAAUACCAGCACCCCGAGUGGUCGGGACGUUUAUUGGGCCUAAAGCAUCCGUAGCCGGUUCUACAAGUCUUCCGUUAAAUCCACCUGCUCAACAGGUGGGCUGCGGAAGAUACUAUGGAGCUAGGAGGCGGGAGAGGCAAGCGGUACUCGAUGGGUAGGGGUAAAAUCCGUUGAUCCAUUGAAGACCACCAGUGGCGAAGGCGGCUUGCCAGAACGCGCUCGACGGUGAGGGAUGAAAGCUGGGGGAGCAAACCGGAUUAGAUACCCGGGUAGUCCCAGCUGUAAACGAUGCAGACUCGGUGAUGAGUUGGCUUAUUGCUAACUCAGUGCCGCAGGGAAGCCGUUAAGUUUGCCGCCUGGGGAGUACGGUCGCAAGACUGAAACUUAAAGGAAUUGGCGGGGGAGCAC
rnacentral:rRNA from 1 species